rnacentral:rRNA from 1 species
CUUGUUGCCUCGGCGGAUCAGCCCGCUCCCGGUAAAACGGGACGGCCCGCCAGAGGACCCCUAAACUCUGUUUCUAUAUGUAACUUCUGAGUAAAACCAUAAAUAAAUCAAAACUUUCAACAACGGAUCUCUUGGUUCUGGCAUCGAUGAAGAACGCAGCAAAAUGCGAUAAGUAAUGUGAAUUGCAGAAUUCAGUGAAUCAUCGAAUCUUUGAACGCACAUUGCGCCCGCCAGUAUUCUGGCGGGCAUGCCUGUUCGAGCGUCAUUUCAACCCUCAAGCACAGCUUGGUGUUGGGACUCGCGUUAAUUCGCGUUCCCCAAAUUGAUUGGCGGUCACGUCGAGCUUCCAUAGCGUAGUAGUAAAACCCUCGUUACUGGUAAUCGUCGCGGCCACGCCGUUAAACCCCAACUUCUGAAUGUUGACCUCGGAUCAGGUAGGAAUACCCGCUGAACUUAAGCAUAUCAA